rnacentral:rRNA from 1 species
AUUGAACGCUGGCGGCAUGCCUUACACAUGCAAGUCGAACGGCAGCACGGGUGCUUGCACCUGGUGGCGAGUGGCGAACGGGUGAGUAAUACAUCGGAACAUGUCCUGUAGUGGGGGAUAGCCCGGCGAAAGCCGGAUUAAUACCGCAUACGAUCUACGGAUGACAGCGGGGGACCUUCGGGCCUCGCGCUAUAGGGUUGGCCGAUGGCUGAUUAGCUAGUUGGUGGGGUAAAGGCCUACCAAGGCGACGAUCAGUAGCUGGUCUGAGAGGACGACCAGCCGCACUGGGACUGAGACACGGCCCAGACUCCUACGGGAGGCAGCAGUGGGGAAUUUUGGACAAUGGGCGAAAGCCUGAUCCAGCAAUGCCGCGUGUGUGAAGAAGGCCUUCGGGUUGUAAAGCACUUUUGUCCGGAAAGAAAUCCUUGGCCCUAAUACGGUCGGGGGAUGACGGUACCGGAAGAAUAAGCACCGGCUAACUACGUG